GACGAACGCUGGCGGCGUGCUUAACACAUGCAAGUCGAACGGAGUGGCGAACGGGUGAGUAACACGUGGGUGAUCUGCCUUGCACUUCGGGAUAAGCUUGGGAAACUGGGUCUAAUACCGGAUAGUGCAGGAUGGGCUCGCGGCCUAUUAGCUGGUUGGUGGGGUAAUGGCCUACAAAGGCGUCGACGGGUAGCCGGCCUGAGAGGGGGUACGGCCACAUUGGGCCUGGGGAACGGGCCGGAGGGAUACGGGGGGCAGGGGUGGGGAAUAUUGCGCGAUGGGCGGAGGGCGGGUGCAGGGACGCCGGGUGGGAGAGGAAGGCUUUCGGGGUGGAAACGCCUUUCGACAGAGAGGCGGUACCGGAAUAGGAAGCAACGGCUAACUACGUGCCAGCCGCCGCGGUAAUAC
rnacentral:rRNA from 1 species